rnacentral:rRNA from 1 species
CACGUAGUUAGCCGUGGCUUUCUGAUUAGGCACCGUCAAGAUGUGCACAGUUACUUACACAUUUGUUCUUCCCUAAUAACAGAGUUUUACGAGCCGAAACCCUUCAUCACUCACGCGGCGUUGCUCCGUCAGGCUUUCGCCCAUUGCGGAAGAUUCCCUACUGCUGCCUCCCGUAGGAGUCUGGACCGUGUCUCAGUUCCAGUGUGGCCGAUCACCCUCUCAGGUCGGCUACGUAUCGUCGCCUUGGUAAGCCGUUACCUUACCAACUAGCUAAUACGGCGCGGGUCCAUCUAUAAGUGAUAGCAAAACCAUCUUUCACUUUAGAACCAUGCGGUUCUAAAUGUUAUCCGGUAUUAGCUCCGGUUUCCCGAAGUUAUCCCAGUCUUAUAGGUAGGUUACCCACGUGUUACUCACCCGUCCGCCGCUAACUUCAAAGGAGCAAGCUCCUUAUCUGUUCGCUCGACUUGCAUGUAUUAGGCACGCCGCCAGCGUUCAUCCUGAGCCAGGAUCAAACUCU